GAUGAAGAACGUAGCGAAAUGCGAUACGUAAAGUGAAUUGCAGAAUUCAGUGAAUCAUCGAAUCUUUGAACGCAUAUUGCGCUCUCUGGUAUUCCGGAGAGCAUGCUUGUUUGAGUAUCAGUAAACACCUCAACUCCCUUUUCUUUUUUGAAAUUGGAGCUGGACUUGAGUGAUCCCAACGCUUUCUUCCAAGAAAGUGGCGGGUUGCUUGAAAUGCAGGUGCAGCUGAACUUUUCUCUGAGCUAUAAGCAUAUCUAUUUAGUCUGCCUAAAAAACAGAUUAUUACCUUUGCUGCAGCUAACAUAAAGGAGACUAGUUCUUGUGCUGACUGAUGCAGGAUUCACAGAGACAGCUUCGGCUGACUUUGUAAACUCGAUCUCAAAUCAAGUAAGACUACCCGCUGAACUUAAGCAUAUCAAUAAGCGGAGGA
rnacentral:misc_RNA from 1 species